CACGCAUUUUGUUUAGUUCAGUUGAGCAUCUGGUGGAGCGCAAACUUCUAGUAUAGAAAUGUCUUUCUCAAAGAAAGCCAAAUCAGGCUGCCA